rnacentral:rRNA from 1 species
UACGUAGGGUGCAAGCGUUAUCCGGAAUCAUUGGGCGUAAAGAGCUCGUAGGCGGUUUGUCGCGUCUGCUGUGAAAACUGGAGGCUCAACCUCCAGCCUGCAGUGGGUACGGGCAGACUAGAGUGCGGUAGGGGAGAUUGGAAUUCCUGGUGUAGCGGUGGAAUGCGCAGAUAUCAGGAGGAACACCGAUGGCGAAGGCAGGUCACUGGGCCGCAACUGACGCUGAGGAGCGAAAGCAUGGGGAGCGAACAGG